rnacentral:rRNA from 1 species
AUUGAACGCUGGCGGCAGGCCUAACACAUGCAAGUCGAAUGGUAACAGGAAACAGCUUGCUGUUUCGCUGACGAGUGGCGGACGGGUGAGUAAUGUCUGGGAAACUGCCUGAUGGAGGGGGAUAACUACUGGAAACGGUAGCUAAUACCGCAUAACGUCGCAAGACCAAAGAGGGGGACCUUCGGGCCUCUUGCCAUCAGAUGUGCCCAGAUGGGAUUAGCUAGUAGGUGGGGUAACGGCUCACCUAGGCGACGAUCCCUAGCUGGUCUGAGAGGAUGACCAGCCACACUGGAACUGAGACACGGUCCAGACUCCUACGGGAGGCAGCAGUGGGGAAUAUUGCACAAUGGGCGCAAGCCUGAUGCAGCCAUGCCGCGUGUAUGAAGAAGGCCUUCAGGUUGUAAAGUACUUUCAGCGGGGAGGAAGGGAGUAAAGUUAAUACCUUUGCUCAUUGACGUUACCCGCAGAAGAAGCACCGGCUAACUCCGUG